GUCCUCCCCAUCCCUCCUUCCUCCCUUGUAGGUAAGUAACAGGGAACCAGUUUCUUUUCCCUCGUUGACCCACGGGAAUGGCCCUAAGUGGGCGGGGCUACUGGCAGCAGCUGGGGCCCCCAUCCCGGUAUAUAAGGCCUGGUACCCGGUCUAGCUGCUACAGUCAAUGAGAAGUAUCAUCUCUUUCAACAUGAAGUUUUGUACGAUGUUGGUGUUGGUGGUGGUGGUGGUGACCUUGGCUGCUCUGAUGGGGCCAGCCAGCGCUAUGCCCGACCCCUUUGCCCUGGCUGACGCGCAGUUUGCAUUUGGAAAAUUUGGUAUCAGUGGAUAUUCACGAUGGCCCUUUAACAGAAGAAUAUUUGGUCAUGGUGGCGGAUUUGGUUUACGACGUGGAUUUGGCGGCGGCCGCUUUGGAAUCGAUCGUUAAACUUAAGACAGUAGUGUCUAGGACUCUGAAUCUCCUCGGACGCCAUUAUAAAACCAAACAAAAUGUGUGAUCUUGUGUUGUGAAGGGAAGCUGACGAGCGUCUCCAACACCUGCAGCACUUCCAACACCUAAUAUCCACCAUCAAACACCCGUCAACAUCAACACCUUCAGCGCCUUUAUCAGUCCAACCACUUGGGCUAAACGGUAGAGCGACGGUCUCGCUUCAUGCAGGUCGGCGUUCAAUCCCCGACCGUCCAAGUGGUUAUGGACACCAUUCCUUCCCCCCGUCCCAUCUCAAAUCAUUAUCCUGAACCCUUCCAAGUGCUAUAUAGUCGUAAUGGCAUGGCGCUUUUCCCUUACAAUUCUUCCCCCCCUUCCUUUCCAUCGGGAGCGCCGACACGGUUAUCUUGAGAUGAUUACGGUGUAAACAAUAGCCUUUCAUCAUGGUUAUUUAGACAGUUGUAACUGAUCACUCAGUAAUUAGCAGCGUAAAUAAAGUUUUUUUU